UACAGAGGCCUCGAGCGUUAAUCGGAAUCACUGGGCUUAAAGGGUGCGUAGGCGGAGCCGCAAGUGCUUUGUGAAAUCCCACUGCUUAACGGUGGAACUGCUCGGUAGACUGCGGUUCUUGAGGUCGGUAGGGGUCGCUGGAACUCUAGGUGGAGCGGUGAAAUGCGUAGAUAUCUAGAGGAACGCCAAAGGUGAAGACAGGCGACUGGGCCGAAUCUGACGCUGAGGCACGAAAGCGUGGGUAGCGAACGGG
rnacentral:rRNA from 1 species